AAAUUGAAGAGUUUGAUCAUGGCUCAGAUUGAACGCUGGCGGCAGGCCUAACACAUGCAAGUCGAGCGGUAGCACAGAGAGCUUGCUCUCGGGUGACGAGCGGCGGACGGGUGAGUAAUGUCUGGGAAACUGCCUGAUGGAGGGGGAUAACUACUGGAAACGGUAGCUAAUACCGCAUAACGUCGCAAGACCAAAGUGGGGGACUUUCGGGCCUCAUGCCAUCAGAUGUGCCCAGAUGGGAUUAGCUAGUAGGUGGGGUAACGGCUCACCUAGGCGACGAUCCCUAGCUGGUCUGAGAGGAUGACCAGCCACACUGGAACUGAGACACGGUCCAGACUCCUACGGGAGGCAGCAGUGGGGAAUAUUGCACAAUGGGCGCAAGCCUGAUGCAGCCAUGCCGCGUGUGUGAAGAAGGCCUUCGGGUUGUAAAGCACUUUCAGCGGGGAGGAAGGCGAUAAGGUUAAUAACCUUGUCGAUUGACGUUACCCGCAGAAGAAGCACCGGCUAACUCCGUGCCAGCAGCCGCGGUAAUACGGAGGGUGCAAGCGUUAAUCGGAAUUACUGGGCGUAAAGCGCACGCAGGCGGUCUGUCAAGUCGGAUGUGAAAUCCCCGGGCUCAACCUGGGAACUGCAUUCGAAACUGGCAGGCUAGAGUCUUGUAGAGGGGGGUAGAAUUCCAGGUGUAGCGGUGAAAUGCGUAGAGAUCUGGAGGAAUACCGGUGGCGAAGGCGGCCCCCUGGACAAAGACUGACGCUCAGGUGCGAAAGCGUGGGGAGCAAACAGGAUUAGAUACCCUGGUAGUCCACGCCGUAAACGAUGUCGAUUUGGAGGUUGUGCCCUUGAGGCGUGGCUUCCGGAGCUAACGCGUUAAAUCGACCGCCUGGGGAGUACGGCCGCAAGGUUAAAACUCAAAUGAAUUGACGGGGGCCCGCACAAGCGGUGGAGCAUGUGGUUUAAUUCGAUGCAACGCGAAGAACCUUACCUGGUCUUGACAUCCACAGAACUUAGCAGAGAUGCUUUGGUGCCUUCGGGAACUGUGAGACAGGUGCUGCAUGGCUGUCGUCAGCUCGUGUUGUGAAAUGUUGGGUUAAGUCCCGCAACGAGCGCAACCCUUAUCCUUUGUUGCCAGCGGUCCGGCCGGGAACUCAAAGGAGACUGCCAGUGAUAAACUGGAGGAAGGUGGGGAUGACGUCAAGUCAUCAUGGCCCUUACGACCAGGGCUACACACGUGCUACAAUGGCAUAUACAAAGAGAAGCGACCUCGCGAGAGCAAGCGGACCUCAUAAAGUAUGUCGUAGUCCGGAUUGGAGUCUGCAACUCGACUCCAUGAAGUCGGAAUCGCUAGUAAUCGUAGAUCAGAAUGCUACGGUGAAUACGUUCCCGGGCCUUGUACACACCGCCCGUCACACCAUGGGAGUGGGUUGCAAAAGAAGUAGGUAGCUUAACCUUCGGGAGGGCGCUUACCACUUUGUGAUUCAUGACUGGGGUGAAGUCGUAACAAGGUAACCGUAGGGGAACCUGCGGUUGGAUCACCUCCUUACCUUAAAGAA
rnacentral:rRNA from 1 species